GUGGGGAAUAUUGGACAAUGGGCGAAAGCCUGAUCCAGCCAUGCCGCGUGUGUGAAGAAGGUCUUCGGAUUGUAAAGCACUUUAAGUUGGGAGGAAGGGCAGUAAGUUAAUACCUUGCUGUUUUGACGUUACCGACAGAAUAAGCACCGGCUAACUUCGUGCCAGCAGCCGCGGUAAUACGAAGGGUGCAAGCGUUAAUCGGAAUUACUGGGCGUAAAGCGCGCGUAGGUGGUUUUGUAAGUUGGAGGUGAAAUCACCGGGCUCAACCUGGGAACUGCCUCCAAAACUGCAUGACUAGAGUACGGUAGAGGGUAGUGGAAUUUCCUGUGUAGCGGUGAAAUGCGUAGAUAUAGGAAGGAACACCAGUGGCGAAGGCGACUACCUGGACUGAUACUGACACUGAGGUGCGAAAGCGUGGGGAGCAAACAGGAUUAGAUACCCUAGUAGUCC
rnacentral:rRNA from 1 species